UGCCCUAGUAACGGCGAGUGAAGCGGCAACAGCUCAAAUUUGAAAUCUGGCCCUUUCAGGGUCCGAGUUGUAAUUUGUAGAGGGUGCUUUGGCGUUGGCUGCGGUCUAAGUUCCUUGGAACAGGACGUCACAGAGGGUGAGAAUCCCGUACGUGGCCGCUAGCCCUCGCCGUGUAAAGCCCCUUCGACGAGUCGAGUUGUUUGGGAAUGCAGCUCUAAAUGGGAGGUAAAUUUCUUCUAAAGCUAAAUACUGGCCAGAGACCGAUAGCGCACAAGUAGAGUGAUCGAAAGAUGAAAAGCACUUUGGAAAGAGAGUCAAAAAGCACGUGAAAUUGUUGAAAGGGAAGCGCUUGCAGCCAGACUUGCCUGUAGUUGCUCAUCCGGGCUCUCGCCCGGUGCACUCUUCUGCGGGCAGGCCAGCAUCAGUUUAGGCGGCCGGACAAAGACCUCUGUCACGUAUCUUCCUUCGGGAUGACCUUAUAGGGGAGGUGUAAUGCGGCCAGCCUGGAUUGAGGCCCGCGCAUCUGCUAGGAUGCUGGCGUAAUGGCUGUAAGCGGCCCGUCUUGAAACACGGACCAAGGAGUCUAACAUCUAUGCGAGUGUUUGGGUGUCAAGCCCGGACGCGCAAUGAAAGUGAACGGAGGUGGGAACCCCUCGGGGCGCACCAUCGACCGAUCCUGAUGUCUUCGGAUGGAUUUGAGUAAGAGCAUAGCUGUUGGGACCCGAAAGAUGGUGAACUAUACUUGAAUAGGGUGAAGCCAGAGGAAACUCUGGUGGAGGCUCGCAGCGGUUCUGACGUGCAAAUCGAUCGUCAAAUUUGAGUAUAGGGGCGAAAGACUAAUCGAACUAUCUAGUAGCUGGUUC
rnacentral:rRNA from 1 species